GUUGGAGUUGGCGGUGGUGGCGGGGUUACGACUGGUGGGGUUGGAGUUGGCGGUGGAGGAGAAGGCGUAGGAGAUGGAGUGUACGGAGGUGGUGGCUUGACGGUGGGCGGUUUUGGAGUGUAAGGUGGAGGGGAUGGAGUGUACGGAGCUGGAGGCUUGACGGUGGGCGGCUUUGGGGUGUGAUGAGGUGGCUUGACGGUGGGUGGUUUGGGAGUGUGAGGAGGUAGUUUUGGGGUGUGAUGAGGUGGCUUAACGGUGGGUGGUUUUGGAGUGUGAUGAGGUGGUUUUGGAGUGUGAUGAGGUGGUUUGACGGCGGGUGGUUUUGGAGUGUGUUGUGGUGGCUUGACAGUGGGUGGUUUAGGCGGUUUAAUGGGAUGUUUGGGAGGUUUAACGGGGUGUGGAGAUGAUUUUGGAGGGUCACUGCAGUCACAAGCGUAAGAGACGGCGCAGAAACCAAGGAGGAGAAGUAUCAAAAAGGAGAGGUUUUGUUUGUGAAGAAUCCCCAUCUUGAGGUUUGGUUAGUGAGGAAGUGAUGAAGUACGUUAAAACUAUUGAGUCCUCUUUAUAUAGACCAAAGGAAUUUUUAAGUUUUUUGUUUUCUUUAUAUUUUUGUUUUCAUUAUCGUCGUCCGUGAUGAUAUGAACGUGCCAAAUUGCUUUGUAUGAGAGGGUUGAAGUUGGACUAUAAUAUAAUGAGAAAAUAAUAUAUCUCAUUUGGUCGUAAGAAGUAAUAAUGGGUUUCCUUUUAUUCAAAAGAAAAUAAACUAGGUACGACGGGUUUCGUCAAGCUUUCGACAGCAAAAAAAAAAAAAAAAAAAGGGGUCUAAACCUAAAACCUAUACCCUAAACCCAAAUCCUAGACCUAAACUCAAAAGGUAAACUUUAAACCUAAACCUCAAACUUAGAUAUUAUAGGGUUUGGGUUAAAGUUUACGGUUUGAGUUUGUGGUCUAAGACUUGGGUAUAGGGUUUAAAUUUAUAGUCUAUUUUUUUAGGUUUAAGAUAUAUAAUUUAGAUUUAGGAUCUAUGAUAAGGGUAUAGGGUUUGGGUUUAGGAGUUUGGAUUUGGAUUUAGAAUUUAGGGUAUAUGAUUUAGAAUUUAAGAUUUAGGGUUUAGGGUUUCGCUGGAAGCGAUAAAGUCGCUAAAAUUAGCGUUUUUAUUUUUUGUAACUAUUUUUUAUUUAAUUUAAUGUUUUUUUAAUUAAUAAUAUAUGUGUCACUUUGAUUGUUUUUAAAACGUGAGGUGAAUUUAAAAGUUUACCCCCUAAGAUGAACCUAAGUUUUGUUCUUUUCUGAAACCACAAUCAUAAGAGCAUUUACGUUGGGUGGUAAAACACCCUUUCAAAUAUCUCAUAUAUAAAAUAUACAUAUUUAAAAUAUAAUAAUUGAAUGAAUAUUUUUUAGAUGACCUAAAAUUUAUGGUGAAACACAUUUUUUUUGCCUUAUUGCUCAUCCUAAAAUUUUAACUAAUUCACGAAAAUGUCAUUAUUUAUUAUUAUUUUUUAAAAAAUGUUAUUAUUAUUCAAACAUCUUCGUCUUCUUCACCUAUUUAUGAUAAUGUAGUUAUCAAUACCACCAACCACUGUAAACAACCACAAUCAAGCUUUAAAUGCACUAGAAAACAAUUUAUACAUUUUCUUAUUUUAUUUCUUACACACACACACAUCUGUUUAUCUUAAAUAUACUCUCUCAUUUCAUCCUAAAUACUUAAAAUUUUGGAUUUCAAUAUUACAUUUUCAUUAGAGUUACGCAUGUUUAUUAUUACUCGUGUUUUAUUAUUCUUGGUCAAUAGCGAGUGAGUAUCAAAAACUCCUAUAUUGGAUAUUUUUAUUCUUGGUACACAUAAGUAUGUUCUAUUUUUAUUCCAAGAUUUUGGUCAACCCAUUGGUUUUGAGAGCAUACAUUUUUAGAAAACUUCUCCAGAAGUUUUCACUAAUAAAAUCAAACAUGGCAAAUUGCAAAAAAUAGUCCACGCAGAUACUUUGCUACUAAAAAAAAAAUUCUCAGUGAGCAUGCUCACAACAUAUUUUUAUAGAAGUUUUCUAUAAAAGUUAAAUUUCUACAAAAAUUUGGUCAAUUGGAAAAUUAACAUAAUUGUCAUAGAAAAUUUCUAGAGAAGUCUUCUCUAGUGAAAUCAAUAUAUAUCCAAAUAUAAAUGUAACCCAAUAAUUUACAAAGAGAUGAGAAAUUCAUAUAUGUUUGUUGUCUUUAAAUUCAAAGAGAUUAGAAAUGUAAAAUUUAUAAGAUUUCAAUUUAUUUUCCAUCAAAAUUUUUUUUUCAGAAUUUUAUAAAUUAAUUUUAAGAUUAAAAUCAUGAGUUGAAUUCUUGAAAAAUCUUCUCGUAUAAUAUUUCAUUGUCUUGCGAAUAAUUCUUAUGAUUAUAACAGUAAAAUUAUCAAUAAUUUUUUUGUUCUAUUAUAAAACAUAACUGUAAUUUCACUAUCUUCUUAGGUUACUUUUACAUUUGAUUGAAUUUGGAUGUAUUUAUUGAAUCAUUUUAGUAAAUUGCCCUAAUUAAAUUUGAUUUAAGAGAAAAACAAAGACAAUAAUAAAAUACUUAUGUAAAAGAAAAUUUCAUGAAUAUCUCAAAAAUUCAAAUUACACAAUCUUGUCAUUCUUUCUCUUUUCUUUUAAAAUUUUUAUUUAAAAUUCCAUCAUUAUAUCUUUACUGAAAAUAUGCUAAAGUAUCAUUCCUUUUUUAUUGCUCCUUCGAUUACUGGGUCCACUUAUUUCUGACAAUUUGAAGUUGUUUCUUUGGAGUUUAGCCUUUUUGUCUCUACCUAUAAAUACUGUAGCUUAGAUAUAGUCCAUAACAAAAACACGAAUAGAGAAAAAGAGAAUCAAUAUUACCUAGGUCCAAAGCUACAGUGUAUUUUAAGUGUAAUCAAUCUCAAAAUAAUGAUGAUGACAGUAUUUGUAUCCCUUAUAUACUAAAGCACAAGUCACUUGGCGAAUCAAAAACCGACACAUGGAAUUUGUUUUUAAAUAAAAUAAAAUGAAAAAGUCUGACUCCACUUAAUUUCUCUUUUAUAUAAUUUAAAUUCUUUUUUUUAUGUAAUUCAAAUUAUGUGUCUACGGUUAAUGUUUAGAAUUAGUUAGAAAAAAAGAGAAAAAAAGUUAAAAUGUAUCUGUUUAACCUUUUCUCAAUCAAAACCACGAUCACCACUUUUUCACAUAAACUGCUUACACCUAAUUCAAGUGAACUUUAAAAUCAUUUCAUCAACAUAUUUUUUUUUACAAAGCGCUCUUCGUUUCACACAAACAUCAACAAAUUUCUUUAUAAGCUUCACUAAAACCAUUUUUCUGAAGUGUUCAAUUUUGAUGUUUACGAGCCACAAUCCAAUUCAUGCUUUCAGCCGCUUUACGAGCCACUAAAACCAAAAUUUCUAGAAUUCACAGGUAAACAGAAAAUCAAGCAUCAAUCUUUGUAUUGUUCAGUUUUUUAUUAUUAUUUCAGUUUGCUGCAGACAUGUACGAGAAGAAGAAGAUCUAAGCAAUGAAAGACAAGUUUGGAUGAAGUAUGUUCUAGAGCUUAAGUUGGGGGAAGUUGGAGACAGAUGGAUUAGAUAGAGAAUUAAAUAGAGUUGCAAACCAUUUGACCAUUCAGAAUUUCAGGUAAACAAUAUUUUUUUUACUUUUCAGUAUUUAUAAAAACAAUUUUUUUUUUUACUUUUCAGUAUUUAAAUAUAUAUUUAAUUAUAUACUUGGAUAAUAAUUACAUUAUUGCUUCUAUACUAAAGAAUUAUUGUUUUACACCCUUCCCCAUCCUCUUUACAAUUUUGAAAUUUGAGACACUGUUAUUUAGGUUCAUACAAUAUUUGACAAAAGAAAAACUUAUUCUUACUGAAAAGUAUACAUGAUUAAUUAAGAGACAGUAAAAUUAAUCCAUGCGUAGCAUGGGCAGUAACACUAGUUACUUACUAAUUCAGAUGUGUGCUCCUAUGCACAAACGAAUGCUUAUAUUAUAUUCCAUCCGUUUCACUAAGGCCCUCACUGGUGACUUUUUUGGGAACACGAAAAAUGAAUAAGAAAUGAACGUAUAGGAAUAAAAUUGCAGGAAUAAAAAGGAAUGCUGGUUCCUUAUCAAAUUUAACAAGAAAUGCUUUUGUUCAAUAUUUCUCUACAAAAAAAGAAUGGAGAGGAAUAAGAAGGAAAAACUAUUUCUUGUGAAUGGUGAUUUUUUUUUAGGAAUGAUAAGGAAUUCAGUGUUCACUUUCGUUCCUUGGUCACCAUUCAACGCCUAAGAUAGAUUUUUUUUUUUAAAAAAAAUUUGUUUCACAAAGAUGUAAUUUUUGUGUUUUCUAUGAAAUCAUUGUAAAUUUCAAGAAAAUUAAUUGACUUUAUUGAAUUACUAUUGGUUAAAAGUUAUUAAAAAUUGAAAAUUACAAAAAAUAAUGGAUUUAUUAUGGUAAUUAAAUGUGUUUUCUUAAUAUGUGUAAAAAUACUAAAAACAUCUUUUUGGAACGGAGGGAGUAUCCCUUAUAUAUUAAUUAAGAAACAUUACAACCUUUAAGUGUUGCUACAUGUCAUCAUCAGAAUGAAAUUCAGAAUCCUUAGAAAAUAUGUUUGUCCUAUUAAGUAUAUAUUAUACUUUUCAUUAAACUAAUCAUAAAAUUAAUUAAAGUGUACAAUUACAAUUUUCUUUUCUUUUCUUAAAUAAAAGCUACGGAAUUACCAAAUACGACUAAUAUAUGUAUGACAAUUAGUGAUUCUAAUAAUAAAGAUUUGAUAACAAUUUAUAUCUCAUCCAUCGAAUUUGUUUAAUUUUAUAUUAUUAAAAUAAAUUAAACAAUCAAAUUAGCUAUAAAAUUAAAAUAUAGAUUUUUUCGUAUAUGUUACAUUUUGAAUUUAAAAAAUAACGACAAAAUUACUAAAAUUGUUAAAAUUAUUAUGUUAAAAAUUAAUGAUCAAUGGUUUAACAUCCCUUAUAUAUUAAUAGAGAAACAUUUAAAAAGUUUAGAACCUGUAGCUUGUACUAAUUAAAAAAGUGUCAUGCUGAGUUGUCAUGUAAUUGGAAUGUUAAUUUGUUUACGUGGCGGCUUUUAAAAUCAAUUGAGAAUUUUGUUAGUCAAAAAUUAAAUUGCUAGAAAAUAUUGUAUUAUAUAGUAUGUACAUUAUGGACCAUUCAGUAUUAAAAUUGAAAUUUAUUAUAUAUUAUUUCCUUAAAUAAAACCUACAGAAUUACCUAAUGUGAUUAUGAUAUAUAUAGUAAUUAAUGAUUUUAAAUAAUAAGGAUUUGCUAAUAAUCUGUAUACUUUCUAUCAUUUUUAUUUAAUUCUUUAUUAUUAAAAUAAGUUGCACAAUUACAUUAAUCAUAUAUUAAAAUUUUAGAUUUUUUUUUUGUAUAUGUUGUAUUUUAAAUUUUUCAAAACGAGUAUAAAUUAGUAAAAAACUGUUAAAAGUCUCACAUAAACUUUUGUGAUCAAUGUCAAAGUUUUUUUCUAUAAUAAGAUACAAUGAUAAUAAAAUCAUAUAAAUAAAUAAUUUUAUUUUAUUAGGUGUUUAUGUUAAUAUAUAUAUAUACAUCAUAUCGUUUAAAUUUAAUUAUAUAUUAUAUAAGAUAUGUAAGAUUGAUUGUUUUAAUUUAUUUAUCCUAAAAUGAUUGCGAAUAAAUAAGAGUGGUCAUUUGAUUUAUAUGUGCAAGCCAAUUUAUUACAUAAUAGUAACUGAUUUCUUAGUUAUUUAAUAUAUAAUUAUUAUUUUAUUAUUUUAUAAUAUGCAGAAAAAUAUAAAAUAAAUAAUAAAUAUAAAAUAUUUAUUCUGCACAAGACGCAGAUCUUAACCUAAGUAUGUAUCUCUUUAAUAAUUUUGAAUCUUAAAUAUUUUCUAAAUCCCGUACCAAAUUAAAAGAAAGAAAUGAGAAUAAACUCAAAAAUCAAUAUUUAUAUCGAGCAAUAACCAAAAUGACACAAAAAUGAGAAAAAAUAUCAAAGAUAAACAGAAUUGGCACGUGAACGUAAACUUCUCAUAACCAUAAUUAAAUUUUAAAUUGCUAAAUCAUGAUAUAAAACCGAGCUGACAUAGUUUCAUUGUAACCAAAUAGUAGGCAUGAGAUUUUUUGGCCUAAAUAUUAGGUUUUUAUGCGGUAAAUAUAUUUGUGACCUAAAAUAGUUUUAAAAUUGAGAUCAGUUCAUUUGUAAACAAAUUAUGUAAUUAACAAAAUAAUUAAAAAAAUUGUUUAAGGGCCAAAAUUUUUAAUUUGAUCAAUAAUAUGAAUUUUAUUUUCUAUACGAUAUUUCUUAAAUAAUUUUCAUAUAAAUUUACCCUGUAUAAGGCGCAAGUCUUAUCCUAGUAUAGUAGUGUUUGCUAAGACUUAAGAAAAUAAUGUUAUCGAUUAAGGUCAUUCUUUUUGCAACUACGUAGUAGAUUUUUAUUUAGCUGGGAUAAAACGUUCAUCACAAGCCAUUGAUUUGAAACAGAAAAUAAGAUGAAUUAACUGUACACCUUAAGUAAUAACAUGACUGCGUUUAAUUUUGUCAUCAGUUAGCAUAUUGAUUUAGCGGUCCUAAUAUUUUCUUACCUUUUUAUAUUGUGGAAGAACCGUAAGGUUUAAAGGCUUCUACACCUAGGUCUGGGGUUCGAAUCCCAAACUAUGCAAUUUAUUGCACAGAUUACAGGAAAUCCAGGUUUCAAGUCCCGGAGAUAAUAAAUCAGCGUAAAAAAAAAAACUCAAAGGCAAGAGACCUACCAAAACAUAUAAAAAUCAUACACCAAUUUAUUUUGUCCAUUUAAACAAAACUUAACUAUCUGAUCACUUUUCCUUGGACACGGAAAUUAGUAUACAAGUUCAUUAUCUUUUUAUUUUUUUGGUAAAAAUAUUAAAAUUAUCAUUACCAAUUUUAGUUUUUGAUAGAAUACAGAGAUCACAAAGAAACAGAAAAUUAAAAUGCAACUAAACAGAAGCUCUAACUGGAAAAACAGAGGAAUAUACAACCGGCUACAAGACCAACACGCUGAACACAUCAGACUUGGUACAUUUCGCUUGCCGCAAAAAGAUGGCUCGCUGUGAAAACGAGAUCUUGAGCCCGGUAAAAUUGGCGUACCCGAUGAACAAGUCUUUAAGAUAAGAUCCAUCUAAGAACAGCUCGCUAAUGACCUCCUAAUCCGAGUCCAACAUGAAUAGACUGGCAGACCAGAGACCUAACACACUCGCUAGACCGCCGAGCCUUAUUCAAAACAAACACGAACACAUGCUGUGAUGGAGACAAACCUGAAUAGAACACUUCAGAGGCCGCUAAAAGAAAAAGAACGACCUGCUGAGAAAACCAAAAGGCCGUCCAAGCACUGGGAUGACCAUUCCUUAACCAGGUGACCUCACCGUCCACGCAACCGGCUGACCCAACCAGCGCUACAAGCCGACGACCUGAUCCGAAACAGAACACUUGUCUUGGUCUUUGAGCGCUUCGGACCCGUCUAAGACGAAACGAAGCAAAGCCACAGAAGCUCAACCAGAUACAUAAGAGAAGAGAGCAAAGGGAGAGCACCCUCAUGAGACGGAGACGAGAAAGCCAUAGACGACAAACCUUUACCACACCUCCGAGGAUGCAGACGCAGAACCACAUGAGAACGAUAGCCACACGACCACACAAACCCUGUGCACGAACCGACAAGCAACAAACUUGCCGUCUCCCAUGAACGAAACCAGCCCGCUUGAUGACACAAGACCCUUGCGUCAGCAAGACGAAAAGUAAAACGCACCUCUCCACGUGAAGACAAUCUUCGGAUACAAACCAUCGAGAACAAGGAGAGAGCGCACCAACACAGCACGCGCCUCCACCACACAAACACACCUCCAGAUCUAAAAGAGAAAACUAGAUCGAAGAAGGUAUUUACCCUAAAAGCCGACUUCGAACGCGCACGCGCCACACUGCCUCACUGAAUCUCCAGGACGGAGGCCACCAACCUCGGAUCUACAACCCCCCGGAGCAGCUGCAGAGGAUCCCGUGGCAGAGCACGACCCAGAGGCCCGAGCAUAUCGACAGCACAAACAGCAGAAGAUAAAUCGGAGCAAAAAGGAAAGAGGGAGAGGAGAGGAAGACGCCUCCGGCAACCACGCGCGCCACCGCUGGUUUCGAUGGAGCAAGGAAGCUUUAGUAAAUCACUGCCGGAGGAGAGAAGGUGGAGGAAAGUUAUAAGAGAGAGAGGGUUUUCCCAAGUUCAAGUUCAUUAUCUUAUCAUAACUAAAUUGUAAAAUAGCUGUUAUCUGUACUGGAAAUUAGUAUACAAGUUCAUUAUCUUAUCCGGUUAUCUGUAGUGGAAAUUAGAUAUUCUAAGUUUGUAGCUUUUGAACCCGAGGUGUUUAAUAUUUUUCAUGCGGUACCAGUUUACCACAUUUGUGUGGUUAAAAUGAGAUUAUAAGCUGAUUUCCAAGUACAAAGUUAGUAGGAUUCCGUGGAUGGUUAAUUUUAGUGCAAAUUUGCAAACUAUGAUGGCCCUCGUGGUCGUCUUACCAUACUCGCAAGAUAACCAUUUGUUACGUUUUAACCAAGUUAAGUUUUCACUAGCGUUGUCACAAAAGCUUUCAUUAAUAUGUCAAAAGAUAACAUGCAAGAGAUGUUAGACUGUAUAUGGAAUAUUCAACUAUUCAAAAUCUAACAAAUUACAAAUAUAUUGAAAAAUCACCGCGGACUCAUUUCACCCAGUUCAUAAUUAUUGUGUUUAUACUAACUAGGUCCUUUUCUGCGUUACGCGCAGAUAGUAUUUUGUUUUUUUUUUCAUAAUUUUGUACUAUUAUGUCAAUUGUUUAGUUUUAUAAAAUAUUAUGUUUUUACUGUAAAUUUGGAAUUAAAAAUCUAUUUUCCCCUUGCUGUAAAGUAAGUUAAUUUUUUUGAAUCUUACCACAACACAUUAUACAUGAAGAGAAUAUAGUUGGUCUUUAUAUUCUUAUUUGGUGUAAUAUUGGAAAUUUUGAUGGUUUGUUUAAAUGGUUUUUUUUUAAAUUAUAUAUUUUAGGAUUGACUUUCGUGACUAUAUUCUAUAAUUGUCUAAAAAAAAAUUGUUUGUCCCAUAUACACAUCCACAUAAAUAUGGACUUCUGAUAAAUUUGUUCAUUGGGAUAUUUAGUUUUACUUUCAACUUUAUUCUCUUUUUUGGCACCCUCAUGCUAGCUUGUCGGGCUAGCCAACUUUGUGCAAAAGGGUUUACAAAAGCUGAUCGAGAUGCGCGUGAUCGGACACCUUUUGCUAGGCUAUUCGUAUAGAAUUUUAAAGAUCUAGGAAUAUAAGCAAUAGAAAGUUCAGAAAAUUCUUUGGAUACAGCUUGUAUUUCGUCGAGCUCCGAGUCCAAUGCAGGCCAAUCUUCCUCCUUUUGAAUGAGUAUAACCAGUUGUUCACAAUCGAUUGAAAGACCAUUUCUCUGUGUCCAAACUUCAGUAUAACUUGCAUUGCCCAUAGAAAACCUUCAGCUUCCGCUUGCAGUGGUGAUUUGGUGCGUGUAUAUCGGUCCUUGCUCCAAACAGCAUGAAAGUCACCAUCCAUUAACACAAAACAGAGUCCAGAUAUGUCUCUUUCAUUUAUCCAUGAUGUCUAGCAGAAGCGUUUCUUUGCGGAGGAACAGUUAUGUCCGUUACCUCAACUUCCAUAUCAAUCGUCAUAAUCUCGUCUAUACGUUGAGCUAUCCUCCAACACUUUGCUUCAAUUUUAUUUGCUAAUGGGAAAGACAUAAUUCCUACGACACUAUUAAUCAUUGUUUUUUUGUAACACUGAUACAGCAAACUUAUGUUUUAUUUAACAAAACUCUUAUUUUAAUUUUGUAUUAAAGAAUCAAUCAUAUUUUAUAUUAUCCAUUUUAGUAAAUUUGCUUAUUUGUCAUGUUUUUAUUAGAUUUUAGCAAAAUCAUUGAUUUAUUAUUUAUUUUUAGCUAAGUCACUAAUUUAUUAAUUUAAAAAAUACCCUUAAUUAAUAUUAUAUAUAUAUUAAAAAUGAAUUUUAUUUUAGUAAUAUUGAAUUUCUAUUUUAUAUUAAAAUUUAGUUAGUUUUUCUUAUUUGUCAUAUUUUAUUAGGUUUUAGACUUUUAGAUAGGUUAUUGAUUUAUCCUUAAUUUCUAACUGAUUCGCUAAUGUGUUAAUUAAAACAAUACCUUUAAUGAAUUUUAUAUAUAAUUAAAAACGAAUUUUAUUUUAAUCAUAUAAAAUUUAUAUGUUAUAUUAAUAUUAAAUAAUUGAUUCUAAAAUAAUAUAAUAAAAUUAUCAAAAUUUUUAAAAAUAAGAUAAUUUUGAUAUAUAUUUUGUUGCUAUCUGAAAACAAUAUUUUUAUUAAAAAAGUUAAAAAGAUACAAAAAAUUAUAAUUAAAUAUUAUUCAAGAAAAAAACAUUUAUAUAAAUAUAUUUUCUAAAUUAGUUCUAAGAUAUGAGUGUUUUAAAAAAUUUAACACGAAAUGUUUAGAACACGGGAUUAUACUUAUGAGAGAGUGGCUCGAGAAUGGGCUUCGAGAUAGGUCGAAUGAGUUCUGAAAAUAGCUUCUUUUUUUUUAAUUCAAGUCUAGUCUGGAUGACAUGACAUCUUGGUUGGUUGACAAUAUUUUAUCCAUGUGACAUGACUUAGAAAAGAGGAAUUUAGUCCAUUUUAUAUAGUAGGAUAAACUGAUAUUACAUUUAUAUAAUUAAAUCUUGGUUUACGUUCUUUAGACCUUUUUCCACGCUCCUUUUAAGAUCUUAGCUUCCCACGAGAAGUGAUCGAGUCCGUGAUUGAUGACUAUCCUUGGAAUUAUUUUCAUAUCCAUAAAGUUGUCCUGUUAUGGCAUAGAUUAAGAGUCGUUAGCACUUAGCAGACACAAUAAUAAUGAAACUGAUAAGUAAAUAUAAAAUAGUGAUAAGUUAGCUCAAUCAAAAAUAUUUAAAAAUAUGUUUUUAAUGUGAAAAAUGUAUUGACGCGGGUACAAGGUUGCGACUUGCGGGUCGAUUUGGCGUGUAGUAAAAAUAGUGUAACCCGUGAAUCUGCUCCUUUAAUUUAAGAUUUUUUUUUUUGUUUUGUCUUUUCAAAUGAGAGUGUGAUAAUGUCACGUAUAGGAAGAAUGAACCGUAUAUGAGUGGGAAUUAUAUUGUAUAUAUACAAUGAUCACAAUUCACGUACAUGGAUCGCAUGUGAGCAGACCAUUGUUAAUUUGUGCUGAAACCAAGGGCCAGAAUAUAAGUUAUUAAUCAAAUCCAAAAUUGUCGAGAUUAACUUCAUUUCCAAAUCAGCGUGAUGAAGACAGCCCAUCCAAAGCAAAGAACUAAAGCCGAAUCAAGUUUCAUUCGAAGUAGAAUAUACCAAGCUUUGUUCUAAUAAGAUGUUUCAAUUAGUUGAACCAGCUCUAGCGGAAUUGGUAUCUGAAGAUGUUGAAAUUCCCCUUUAUCUUUAUAUGAGCUAACAAAAAGGCAGUUUUCUUUUUUUUUUUUUUUUUAACAUAAGAGAAACCAAAAGAAAAGAAACAAGAUCAAAUUUGCUUAGAAGCAUAAGAGAAGACAAGUGAAAGUCAAAGACAAUAUGAAAGGAUCCAAUUCCUACUACCAUCAAUCCAUCCACAAUCAAAUGUAAGAAAUUUAAGUUACACACUGCAUCAAUUCAUUAUAUUUUGAAAACCUCUUUGAUUUUUUGUCUUUGUAAAUUUUGUACUCAAAUCACUUUGUAAUAAACUAGAUUGUUGCUUUCAUUAUGUUUUGAUUUUCUAAGUUUGAAAAUUCAGCCAAAGGUCAUUGCAUAAAAAUCAUUAUAUAAGGUCCAUUUGUAACCAUGUAGAUUUUUACAUAAUCAAAUUAACUUUUUAUCGUUCUUUUUUUGAAAAAGAAAUUAAAUUGUUUUCUUCAACUUGAGUUCUCUGACAAACUUGAAUUCAUACGUAUACUUAAUUGGGACAUUACUACCUUGACUAGAAAAACUAACGUUUUAUUAAAAAUCUUUCACAACUUGCGUGAUAUACAACAAUAUAUCCACCCAUCAUCCUCAAUGCUUCCAAAAAAAUCCAGCUCAAUUUGUUAGAGAAGCUCGGCCAUUUUGAACCACUCAUCAAAUAGAGCAACCAACAUUUUAUUCCAUCAAUUCUACAUGCCUUGAGACAGUCUUAUGUUCAUAUCUUUCACAUAUUGCAUUUACCAUAAUAAUUCGAUGUCAUUUAUUUCACAUAUUAAAUAUAAUAAUUUUACGUGUUUAAAUGAAAUUGCUCCAAUAAUGACAAGAAUCAAAUCUAUUAACGAUUUUUUUUUUACAUAAUCAAUUAGAUAUGAGCAUUCACGUAUACGUUCGGAUACAUAUUGAUUUUUAUGGGAAUCGAGUUUUUGGAUUUUAAAUUAAACUAUAUUUGGAUAUUACAAAAUUUUCGGACAUUGUUCAAUUUGGAUACUUUCGGUCCGGGUAAGUUUGUAUGACACUAAAAAUAUCUAAAUAACAUAUAUGCUUAAAAAUCUAUACUAUAUUAAAAGGGAUAUAUGAGGAGUAGGGAGGGUGUCCACGUCAGACAAAAAAAUCAACCAAUCAGGUUGCAAUGUUUUGCCACGUAAGCUCUUUGUUGCCCGUGUUAUUCUUUGGCGUUUUCGUUUGGGCUUUGCGUUUUUCUCCUUUGAUCUGCUGUGUAUACGUUUGGGCCAUGGAGCCCAUCAGACUUUAGAGACGGAAAUCUGAUACCUAGCCGAGUAUGUAUGCUGAGAUCUCGCCCUUUCUCAUUUCUUCAAACCCUAACUCUUCGACAUCCCCUUUGCUCUUCCUCUUAUUUGUUCCGUUUCACGUCUGAUUCUCCAGUGCUGCCAUGAUCACGGAGUCAACUUCUUCGACAACGCCGAGGUUUACGCCAAUGGCCGAGCUGAGAAGAUCAUGGGUCUGGCGAUUCGCGAGCUGGACUGGCGGAGAUCCGACAUCGUGGUCUCCACCAAGAUCUUCUGGGGUGGUCCUGGUCCUAACGAUAAAGGUUUCUCGAGGAAACAUAUCAUCGAAGGAACCAAAGCUUCUCUCAAAAGACUCGAUAUGGACUAUGUAGAUGUCCUCUAUUGCCACAGGUCAUAAAGAUUUGAUUUUUUUAUAUUUUAUUUCUUGAAGAUCUAUUCUAGGGUUUUGAGUUUUAGAUUAUGAUUUAACUCUUAGGGUUCCUGAGAUUGAAAUAAAGAGUUCGAGCUUUAGGUCUUUUAGUGUCAAUGUCUUCCGUCGUUUCUACUAUGGAACCUCUCAGUGGUUCUGUAACGCCUCUCCAUUUUUAUUUGUCUCCAUUCAUUGAUUCCUUAUUCCAAUCAGGCUAAAGCCUCAUGUCAUUUAUGUGUAUUUCCUUGAGAGGCUUUCAGACCAUGUCAGGUGAUUCUAAGACGACAGGUCGGCUCUUCUUCUUGCGUUGGUUAAUCGCUGAGUUUUUUUAACUUCAUUUUCAGCUUCAACAGUUUCGUCAAAAGAAGGCUGACAAAAACACUGAUCAUAAAAAGGACCCCAAGGGCAGUACAAGCCAAGGAAAUCCUCCAAAAAAUCUGGUAAGAAGCAUGAGCCUAAACCUGACACUGGUGGUGUCAGUGACGAGGCAGAAGCUCCGUCUGAUGUGGCUGUAGGAGGAGCUUCAUCUCAUGUGAAUAUUGGUGAGGAGGUUGUUGAUCCUCCACCGACUUCUGUAAAUGCAGCAGCUAACAGUGAUGUUUCAGUUGACACGCUUCAGCCAGGAAACACCACAGCAACUUCUGAUAGUGGAGAUGAACCGAGAAAAAAAGUUGCGAAUUCCGAAAAUGAUAUCAGCGUAGCAUUGUCCACGGAAGAAGAGAAUGUGAAGAGUAUCGACAUUGGAGCGGCUGGCGCAGUAGAUUCUUUGACGUCUGACCCUGCAGAUACCGAGAAGGGAGUUACACAUGACGAUGCAGAGGAGUCCCUUCUGGCCGUACGAUCUGAGUUACAAAAGAGAUCUAAUGAACUUGAACAAUCAGAACAGAGGUUAUUAUCUACUAGAGAGAAGCUUAGCAUAGCUGUUGUCACGUGUUAGCUCUGUUUGUUCUCAUAUGCAUUUUAAGACUCAGAGACAGAGAGAGCAUUAUCUGUUGUGUUUUAGUUUUUGUUGUUUCCACUUUAUAAAUACAAGUAUAAUGUUUUUGAAACUUAAAAGUUGGCUUUUAUAGUUGUUGUCAAGAGGUCAGUAGUAAUGUAGUAUAUUGAAAAGCUCAUUUAAACGAUUGUUAACUGUGUUAAAAAAACAGUUGUUAAUUAUCAUACAAGUUUUUAUUUUAUAAAAACAGAGGAAGUGAAGAUAUACUAAUUUAAAGAUUUGAUGAAAAGUAUAUAAUGCUGAUCGUGCACAUCAUAAUGUCAGCACCAUCCUAAGUCUAAUGUUUAGUCUACCUGUUGGCAAUUGUUUAGUUCCAAUUAUUUAGUUUCUUCUUAAAACAUACAUGCACGUACAUUUCUGAUUUUUUUGUUUGAAAAGACAUUUCUGAUUUUUUUUACAUAGAUAUCCUAUACAACUUCGAUUUUCUUUUGGGGUAAGAUUCAUUUUUCACCGUCAUUUUAAACUAAUUUUGGAUAUUCUAUUUUAUUUAGUUAAAUCAGAAAACAAUUUUUUUUAGAAUUGUCUAAAGAAAGUAAGAAAUAGAGAAAAACGUUCCUAGGCAAUUUUAUGAAUUUACUAUUUGAGAAAACAAAAGAAGUAAAUCCGGAUUUAUAAUUAUUAGUAGAUAGAUCAUCUCAAGAGUACAAGUGAAACGAAUAAAAUCAAAAAAAUUAUUAAUAAUCUUAAUUGAAAAAAAUAAUAAUUAGAGAAUUUUCGAAAGGAGAGUUAGUUAUUGGAAUUUGUCUUUCACCAUCCACCCGCGUUUAUUUUUGAGAACGCUUCUCAGCGUCUCUCUCCUCUCAUCCCAAAAAAGUCUAAAGGUAAGUGUUUUAUAUUUAACAUAUUGUUCAUACAAUUAUUUUUAAAUAUUCAGGUGCAUGAAAAUUGGAACUCGCUUCUUCACUAGCAACCAAAUUUUACUUUGACAGCUCAGUCAAAUACAUCAAACAUUUUAAAGAACGAAUACCAUAUUAACUACAGAAUUAGCUGAGAUACAAAGAAACUCCAACACAACCAAAGUUAUAGAGUGAAAAAAAGACUGCACCCUGUUUCUAUUCUUUUUCUUAUGUCCUACCAAGUAUUACAUUUUGUUUGACUCGACUGUAAUAAAAGAAACAAAAUAUUUUUCCAUCUGUCUUUUUCCUUUAAACUAAUUUAUUAUUUUCUAUUUUUUGACAAUUUUAUCUAUCCACCUAUGGAAAAAAUUAUAUAAAAUGUCAACAUCCAAAUCAAAACAUAAUUGGACUUAGCAAAUAAAUUCUUAAUAUUAGUAAAAGAGGCUAUCGAAUAAUAUAUUCAAACUCAUUUUCCGCGCGUAGCGCGGACAAAGACUCUAGUGUUAUUAAUGAAUUUAUAAAAAUGAAAAAAAUCAAUCCCCACGGGCGUGCGGUUUAAACCCUAGUAUGUUUUAAAAUAGAGUUUCAACAGUGAAGAUAUCAGAGAAGAAGUGAGGUCCUUAAGACACGAGUUAUGCUUUUAAUUGCCUCGAGGAGAACAAGAACCAAGAACAACUAACCCAUCUCGAAUGUUUGUGUUAGAAUACAGGAAAAAAUUUGUUCACAACAACAAACCGGAUCGAUACCAAGGUAAGUUUGGAUUCAUGUCAAUGAACGAUCAGCCUCAAAUCCUUUGGACGAUGAUUUUCCGCUAUCAUAAGAUGAACUAGAUCACCCCUAUCAACUAAAAAGUAUAAAGGAGAUUUUUUUCCACAAGCUGAACAUAGAGAGGAAGAAGAUAAUAAAUAUAAACCAUCACCUUGAGAAAAAUAUAUCCACAUCAACCUAACAACUCCACAUUUCAAAAGAAAAUGUCCAUCCAUAAGCAUACUUCGAUUGAAAUAGAGGAUGGACCACAUCUUUGUUUACUACAAAAUUCUUUGACCAAAGGAGUUGCACUAACUACAUCCCAUCUUAAAAGGAUAGAAUGAUCCUAGACCAAAAUAGAAACCUUUUGCGAGCCAUUGAAUCUUGUAUUGAUAUGAAACACUAGGCCUGGGCGUAUUAUACUGAACCCGAAGCCCACACCCUAGUCCGAACCGAACUCGUGGGUCCGGAUCGGUAACGGAUCCGUUAAAAAUACCGAAUGGGUUUUAAGGCCCAACAUUUUGGACUACGGAUCGGGACCGGUUGUAAACCGAUAUCCAUAGUAGGUAACCGUUUAAACCGAGCAUUUAUAACAUGUCGCGUAUAUACAUACAUUCAUAAUACACUUACACAUAUAUUGAGAAUUUCUUCGGUUCCUGGACUUGUUUACGGCGAGUGCGACGAACCCUAGUUACGAAAAAGCAACCUCGAUUCUUGAUUUUCAUCAUUAAGCCGCUCAAACUGGCUACUAUAAAUCACCUCUCCUCUCCAUCUCAUGCUUCAUCAGACCAUUCGAGGAUCAAAUCAGAGGUAUUGUCCCUCCCUUUCUUCUACUCUUGUUCUUCUUUGUUACGAGUAGGCUAGUUACGAGUUUAUGUGAUUGAACUUAGUGGAGUUAAAUUAGUUUAGGAUACGGUUUGGUUUGUGGAACUGAUUCUGUUUGAAGUUUGGAUCUAUUAGAGUUGUUGUAACAAAGUUUAGAACUCAGACUGAUUUUUUGUCUGUUUCAUUAAUUUUAUUUUGCAGAUGGACUCAACAUCAACUCUUGGCCGAGAAAGCAGUAACAAAGAUGAUGAAGGAGAAACUCAAACACCGACUAGUGUGGGCAAGAGGAAAGAAACUCCGCCAACCAGUGGAGCAUCAUCUCAACCGAUCAAAGUGAAGCGUCUCCUCCCGACAAGAUCAGAUGUUUGGGAACAUUACACAAGAACUCCAGAAGAUCGAGAUAGGUGUAUAUGCAAUCACUGCCAGAACUCAUUCUCGUGUCUCACCUCCUCAAGAACAUCAAAUCUGAAGAAACAUCUUGAAGUAUGCAAGAACCAUCAUGCUUGGUUAGCUGGACAGAAAAAUAAGCAGCCCGUUAUUGAUGAUGAGGGGAAACUUAAGAAGGCAAAGGUGACUGAAGCUCAGUUUAGAGAAGCUACCAAUCAAAUGCUGGUAAUAGGGCAAUUGCCUUUAUCAUUUGUUGAGAGUGCAGCAUGGAAACAUUUCGUAGAGAAGGUAAAUUCCCUGCUUCUCUAAUCUUUAUGUUUUUUUUCUGUUAUCAUUUGUUGUAACUAAUAUAAUAUGUUUCCUGUUUGUAGACAACCUUGUUCACUCCUCUUUCAAGAAGAACCGCACGUAAAGACAUUGUGAAGAUGUAUGUGGCAAGGAAAGAAGCACUCAAGAAAUGGUUCAUAUCUAGCCAGCAACGAGUAUCUCUGACUACAGAUAUUUGGGUUUCCCAAACAACAGGUUAGCUAUAAUCUUUUAAUCACUACGACAUGUUAUUUGUUAUCUGAAACUGACAUAUUAUUUUUUGUAAAUUUUAUUUAGGUGCGAGUUAUAUGGUUGUGACAGUGCACUUCAUUGAUUCUUCUUGGCGUUUGAAGAAGCUGAUCAUAGGAUUCAAACAUAUCAUGGAUCACAAAGGUCAGACUAUAUCAACUGUUCUUCUCGACUGUUUGUCUGAAUGGGGAAUAGAUAAGGUUUUCUGCGUAACAGUAGAUAACGCUACUGCCAAUAGUUCUGCUUUGAGGAAGUUUCAGACUACUUAUGCUAUGGUUUCAGAUGAGGCUUUUGUUUUAGAUGGAGAGUUUUUACACAUGCGUUGUAGUGCUCAUAUCAUUAACUUGAUAGUUAGAGAUGGAAUGGCUGAAAUAGAUCAGAAUGUGGUGGCCAUCCGUAAUGCGAUCUCCUACGUUAGAUCACACACUAACAGAUUGAGGUCUUUUGAGCUGAAAGUUGAUGCCGGUAAGAUUACAAGAGGAAGCUUGCCAUUGGAUGUGAAGACAAGGUGGAAUUCAACCUAUCUAAUGUUGACAACAGCUCAGAAGUUCAAGGUGGCUUUCAAUAGGAUGGAGACAGAAGACAAGCUCUACAAUGAUCACUUCUAUGAGCUUGAUAAUGGAGUCAAAAGGACAGGACCUCCUCAGCCAAGGGAUUGGAAUGCGGUUGAUAAGCUGUGUCGGUUUCUCAUGAUUUUCUACAACUCGACGUUGGUGGUUUCAGCUUCAACUUCACUCAACUCGCAUAAGUGCUAUGGUGAGAUAGUGACUAUCGCGACCAAUCUCAGAAGUCUCUCUACCAGCCAUGAUCCUGAUUUGAAGUCAAAGGCAACAGAGAUGCUGAAGAAGUUUGACAAAUACUGGGAUGGUGUGAAGAACAUUAACAAGAUGUUAAUUGUGGCUACUGUGUUCGAUCCAAACAAUAAGUUGGAGCUUGCAAAGAUGUGUUUUGAGGAGUUAUAUGGGCUGAAUAGCAUUGAUUAUAAUGACAUGUUGGAGUCGUUGAUCACUCUGUUGAGAAGUUUGUACAAGGAGUACAGUGCAAGACAUGGAGGCGGUUUACAUCCAAAUGAUCAGGCAUCUCAGUCAUCCGAGCAAGUUCAGACUCAGAGUAGGAACCAGAGUAUUGAGAGGAUGUAGCUUGUUGAUGAUUAUGUGGGUUACAAGAGGAUGGAUGUUAGGUACAAGCAGAAAUUAAGCGAAAUGGGAGUUAGAGAAAAGAAGGAUGAGUUGGAAACUUACCUCAGAGAAUCUGUGGAAACCCCUGAUCUGAUGCUUGGAGUGGAGUACGAUGUACUCUCAUGGUGGAGAAAGAACACGUCUAAGUUCCCUAUCUUGUCUGAGAUUGCCCGAGAUGUGUUAGCCUUACAGGUUUCUUCAGUUGCUUCGGAGAGUGCAUUUAGCACUAGUGGAAGGCUUCUUGAACCACAUAGGAGUUGUCUUACACAUUACAUGGUUGAGGUUCUAAUGUGUACUGAGCAGUGGCUGAAGCAAGACAUCAAGAUGGAGUCAAGAGUGCUUUCAAAUGCGCAGAUACUUGCUGAUCUUGAAGACAUGGACAAGCUUGAAAGAGGUAAUAUCAAGAAUUUCUAUCUUUAAUUCUUGUACUACUUUGACUGUGUAAUAAUGGUUUUUACUCUCUUUUCAGAGUUUGGGGACAACACAAUUCCAGAAGAUGACAAUGCCAUGGCGUGAAGCAUGAGAAGAGAAGUUCAUGAAGCAUGAGAGGAGAAGUUCAUGGCUUUCAUCCGUUGAAGAAUCUUGUUUUAGUUUGCUAUCUGUUUCUUGUUUUAAGUUUGCUUUCUGUUUCUUAUUGAACUUAUGCUAUCUAUUUUCAGUUUGGUGUGUUUCAAGUUGAACUUAUGUUAUGCUAUGAUAGCUUUGCUAUCCAUUUUGCUUUCAAUGAAAAAUUUUCGGAUACGUAUGGGUUUUAUCGGUUAUCUUUGGUUAUAUAUAGUUUAUUUCGGUUCUUUGGUUAUUUUUUUUUAGGUUAUCUUUGGUUAAAAUUCGAAACCGAAUCGAUUUUAAUACGGUUUCGGGUUUAAGCGGAUUUUGAAUUAUAAAACCGUACCGAUCCGAACCCGGUUAGUUCCGAACCGGUCCCGUACCAAAAUUCUACAAUAACCGAAUGGGACUUAUAUGCUAAGAUCCGAAAAACCGAAAAACCGAUUAGACCGAACCGAACCCGAAUGGGGGACCGAAGGCCCAGGCCUAUGAAACACCAUAUGAGGCAUAUAUAUACACUAAUCUUCAUUUCCAUGGAGAUUUACAAAACCAUUGUAUACUCUUAGACAACAAAACAUGGCCAUGGAGGAGUAUUUUGAAGAGUGAAUGUUUGAGAUACCUACUAGAACUUAAAUGAUUAUGAAAAUUUAUAAUGACACAAUUUAUUGACGAACAAUAAGAAAAAAUUAACCGUAAGGUAGAGUGACAAGUCUAUCAAUACUUCAAAGACCCUCUGCACUUAUCCAUUCAAGCGGAGAAACAUAUCGAAAAUUCGACCAAUACAUAUUUAUCCCAAGAUACUUGGCACCAUACAUAAAGAAGCCAUGGACAAAAGAAAAAGCAUAUAUACCACUAUGUUAGGCGAAGCUAAGACAAUGGUGGAAAUCAUGCUUGACAACCAUAUCCACAAAGAAUUGCAGCCAUAGCCGAUCUUCAGAAUUAAUAGAUUAGAUGCAAAAAAAUAAAUAAUGUGGUCACUUUUGAGAGAAGAAAAAUAAAUUAUUGCUAAAGGAUGUGAUUUUAAACUGGGGUUGUGGGGAAGAGAACUAUCAUUCAAAACAACCACUGAACCAAAGACAAAAUUUUUAAAAUGUGUCGAAUUUAACUUUAUUAAAUAAAAGCUGGAAGCGUGGGCUUCAGCCGGCUUUGAUAACUGCAGCAGAUAAAAAAAUAAAAACAAUUCCCACUAUGACAGUUGAGUACUCAUGUCUCUCUACUAAGUGUGAAAGGUGUGAUCAGCUUCAUCAUAAAGAAUAAAUAUGCUUUAAGAGUAUAUGCAUGGUGAAUGGUUUUUGGAUCUCUACAUUGAUCUUCAGUGGAUGCUGAUAGGUUUGGAAAGAUAGCUCUGGACAAACAAGACUCAUGGGUGCAAGAAACCAAAGAAUAAGAGAAUUUGCCUUGCAUUCAGAGCCGGAAGCGCUAGGCUAGGCAAUGGACAGCAUGCUGCACCAUUUGACAUGUCAGCAUUUUUGGACAGAUUGUAAUAAUUUCAUCGAGAUGAUAAAGGAAUCUAAUGCAUGUCCGAUUUUUCCGACAGAGCUGAAGGAGAUACAAAAUCUCGAGAGAAGAUUCCACGAUUUCAAGCUAUCAUAUAUUUCCGGGGACAAAAUGAGACUGCUGAUUUUUUAGCUAUAUAACUGCUAGGUAUUUUCUUUGGGGUCUUUGUUUUGUUGGUUAUUACAUCAUGGUCUGGCUCAGCGCACCUAAACUUUGAGUAAUAUAAUAACCUUUUAAUGUAAAAAAAUAAAAUAAAUAAACUUUCUUCAUUUGGAACAAUGGUCAAAAGACUAUGCGCUUGAGACCGCAAGUAAUUAUGUUGCUGUCGUUUCUGAUACAUGCUCUAUUGGUGUUAGUUUCUGAUACAUGAUGUAUUGGGUGUUGUCUUCGACCUAGCAUCAAUCGUACAGGUUUCAAAAUAACAAACCUUUUCACAACUAUUCCAAACACUUUUGAAACAACUAGACCAUCUUUUUCCAUUAACCAUCACCGCUAACCCAAUGAUUUUUAUCAUCAAAGGAGACUACUCCAACGAUUGCUACUGCAUUGGAUUUUUAACCGAUACUUUCAUCUUCUGAAAAUUAUUUAGAGGUUGUUACUUCUAAAAAUGUCCCAAAAGCCGCAUAUGAUAUUUCAACCACUACAUUAUUCUCAAAGGAUGUCACAAAAACCCAAUCAGUUAAAAAAUGGUCAACUGCCCAUGCAUCAUUUUCUGAAGGUAAUAUCUCUCUCACUAUGAUAUUGUAGUUGGUCAAAGGGAUGGAAGCUAAUACUCUGACCCAAACCAUGAGAAUGAAAAAAAUGAGAGCUUUGGCUCAAAGGAUCUUAACGGAUCAGCCGUUAAAACCUUCUCAAAAGGUCCAAGAGAUAGAAGAGCUUGAGGAGGAAAAGGCUAAAGUUCUUUUUGUUCCUCAUGCAUAGUCUAUAUCUCUUAUUUCUCGAUCUGAUUUGUUUGUUUUUAGCUAUGUUUGUCAAUACUUUCUCUGGACAACGAUUCAACCUUCUAAGUUUCUGCCCGCUAGUCUCUCCUCUACUUUGUGUUAAUUUUUGUGAUCCAAAAGUUCAAAAACAUAGUCUUGUAAACUUUUAAUUUCUUUGGAAAGCUUCAAAUCAUAAUAUUAAGAGACAUUUGGUGGACAUAUGAGUUUUUUUUUAUACUUUUUGUUUGGGCUGAAUUUGUUUUUCAUGUUUUAUUCGGUUAUCUAUUUCUAUGUAUGGUCUACAUGUAAUAAUUGGGAGUGGUUGAUCAUAAAUUCUACAUCAGUGACAUUUGAGUCAUAGAAACAAGUAGAGAUUUGGAAGUACAGUUUUCAUGUAUUCACUUGAACAUAACAAACAAUUCUAGUCCAUAACUGUGGAAUCUGUUACACUUUGGUCUUCCGCAUCUGGAAAUUCUUGAAUGCUGAACCAAAACUCUCAUUUCUUCACUAUCCCAUUCUCUUUGUUGCCCUUCUCAUUUAAGAAACCUUCCUGACAUGAUAGUUUUCAUCCCCUUCUGCAACCUCAUCCUCAUCAGAAAUUUCUUCGCUCUCAUCAUCCUCGGCAUCUUCUGAUUCCUGCCUCAGUAGCCGUUGCUGGAUCCCAUCUCUGAUGGCUGUUCCCUGAGAAAAAAACAUUCAUCUAGACAUGAGUGAUGUAUGGAAACACUUGAAAUCUCAAAAGUUGAGAGAAUCAAUCCUUUUGCUUACCAUUUUAUGACAACCUUCCUCAAACAUUUCAAGAAACCCAGCAACCCAACGAUCAGCAUUUUCAACCCACUCAUUGCGGUGCAUCCCAGCAGUUUUUGCUACGGUUUGUAUCUGCACAAAAAAGAAAAAAAUAUUCAAGAUUUUAAAAGUUAUUUACUCUAUACCAAGCAGGGCAUCAGAAGCAACAUCAUUAACAAAUUAAAGAAUCCUCAGUUCCCACCUUUUCUUGUUGUUCUUUCACUUUCUCUUGUAGUUUCUUCAGUUUCACGUUCACUCUAAGCCUCUUCUCCUGUUUGUAUUAAACAAGCCCAUCAUAAUAUGUUAGUGUCAUGUUGGAUAAUACCAUUACCAUUUAGCACAUCAAAAAGAAUGGAGAGCGUGCCUUAACAAAGCUGACACCGAGCUCUUCUCUGGAAUAUCCUCGGUCCAAGUUACGCAACACAUACUGAUUAUAAUCUUUCACAAUUCUCAUGAUUAUAUCUGAUGUCGAUAUCCCCUCUGUUCGUUUAGUUUCUUUAAACUUCCCAAUCGACUUUACCUGCAGAUACCAAGCCCAAACUCCCUAAGAAACAAUAUGAAUGAGAAGAGAUAACCAGAGGAAGAAACUUACAAACUCAUAGACAUCGUUUCCAGCUCCACUAGCAUCCGCAUAUCUGAGGAAAAAAAACAUGACAUAAGAGUUAAAAACUAAAGACAGAACAACUCAAAGCAUUAAACCUUAAACUUACGGAAGAGCAUCAUGAGCUACGUAGUCGAUCUGAUGCUUAUCGAGAAACUCAGUGGUGAGAACCCAUGGUGCAUCUGGAAUCACUUCAUCGACCCACCUUGUUUACCAUAUAAAUAAUUUUAAACCCAAAAACAAAACAAAAACUCAACAAGAUAAAGACAUAAUCUCAGUGGUGUGUGUGUGUGUUUCCACAUUACUUGCAAUGUCGGAGAGAUUCAUAGCGUUCGGACUCUGUCAUCACGGUCUUUCCUUUGAAUUUGUUUGUGAUCUCGUCGUUACAACAUCCUACGAGCAGAUACGUGUUCGGAAACCUAAUUUGUUUCCGUUUCAAUUAGGAACUGAAUCAUCUAAUCAUAACAAGAAAAAAAAAAUGAAUGGGUACUUAACGAUUUCUUGGCUUGUUCGAUGGCGCGAGCGUGACCGAAAUGGAACAAAUCAUAGAUUCCAUCGGCGUAGACUCUAACCGGCCGGUUCGACGAAGCUGUUUCUUCUCCUGAAACCUUAUCGUCACCGUUAAUGGCCAUUCUUCUUCUUCUUUCUUGAUUUUUUUUUCUUUUUUGGUUUUCUUCUUAAAUGUGUUCUCCUUGUUUCUUUAGUUUUCUAUUGGGUCUCCCUCCAAUCACGUAAUUUUCUAAAUAAAUAAUGAUCUCUCAUUUUCAGACAGAACUGAGAUGGGGGGGAGAUAGAUGGUGAGCUUAGUUGGCCAUGUUCGAACACUGACAUGUACCAAAAGUCAAAAAUACAAAUGAUUCCUUUUUUGAAAUUUUGUACUUAAAAUUCAAUGGUUGAAUUAACUAACGAUAUGAUAAUAUUUUGGCCAUGUUUUGACCAAAAAAUAAUUAACUAACGAUAUGAUAUUAUUUUGUUUACUGUACUUAAACAACAAUUGAGAAUGUGGUGCAAAUGUUUUAAAUUUUCGAUUUUCACUAGUAAACGUUUAUCAUGUUUCUUCUUGAUAAAUUAUCAAAUUUGAUAGUACUUCGUGGACGUCUUUAUGUAGUUUUUAGAGUAGAUUGUUUGUGAAGUUUAAAGCAUGUGUAAAUAGUAAACAAUACUUGACAAUUCUUCUGCACAGUUCCAAUUAAUAUUGAUUUUACCACAAGAUUAGUAAACAUGAAUUUAUUUAGUGGCUGGGGGUAAGUAGUUUGUUCAAAAGGAGAAGGCAGGUAUAGGAAGACCGGGCGUAUCCUAAUUGAUUUGGCCUCCUUUUUAGUGAAAUCUGUGUAGUUUUGACAAAUAUGUUUUUGCUUCUCAAACUUUGAUGUUUUCUCUAUAAAAAUAUUUGAUCUGGGUAAAUUUAGAAAGUUAUGGAAGCCAUGGAAGCUUGUAAAUAAUCUUAAGGAGUAAGAAAUUUUAGAGAGAAAUAAGAGAGGUGUAGAAAAAUCCAGAAAAAGAUCACAACCGUUGAUUCAGUUUGAUCUUCACCGUUCGUUGAAGAGGUGGCUAUGUAAUAAAGGGGCAAGUUCCUCAUAUGUAACAUAUUCACCAAAUUAUCAGUAAGAACCACUUCUUUAAAUCUCUCUCUGUAAAAUCUCUCCUCUCUUUAAAGGAAGUUAGGUUUCGGUUAAGAAUCGGACUUGGCAACAACUUAGCAACUACAAGGUCAAACGUUCCGAUUCAGUGAAGAAUCUGUCUGAAUACAUGGAUAACUUACGUUCGUCCCUCAUGAAAGCAAAGCAUAAAGAUGAUAGUUGAUUUAACGCAGUGAUAGAUUAACACUUCUAGAGUCUUAUUAAGAAAAUAUAUGAAAUGGAAAAUAGACGAUAAGAUAGCUCAUAUAGAGCUUUAUUCAUAAGAAAAGUUGAAGAACAAAUAUAUUUGUUGCCAAGAUUAAAGAAGAUUUGGUUGAUAUUUCAUUGUAGAAAGGAGAAGCUUGAUAUUCAGUGUUUCUACUAGUUUAUAACAUAUGUUUUAAGUUUUUUAUUGAGUCAAAGUAUGUGUUAUAGAUUUUUAGGGGUGUAAUUUAGUGUAUACAGGAUUUAGGUAUGUUUGGAACAAAAUAGUCGAUGCAAAAAAAAAAUUGAAAAUGCAAAAUUGUGCAGAUGCAUAAGAAAUUUAGCAAUGGAUAUGGUGUGAUUGAGCUCAAAUUUUGACACAAGAUAUAAAAUGGAAUUAUGUUUUCAAUACCACUGGUUUGCGGUCCAUCCAUCAAGUAGAUGAUAACUCUGUCUACUGAUUCAAUACGAAAAAAAACUAAAAACUGUUUUCUUUAAUUUUAGUUUGGUUUUGUCUAAAAUUCAAUCACGACAUGUUAAAGUAAAAACAAUCAUCUUACUUACGAUCAAAAUUAAAGUAGAACAAAUAUUAAAAACAAAGUAAAACAAUUAUAUUUCAUGAACUUAUAAAUUGUGAAACAUAUAUAUUAUUUCUAAAUAGUAAUAAUAAUACAAACAGUAAAAGUUAUAGUAAAAAUAGUUAAAACUUCAAUCAAAAUUAAGUUAAAUAUUUUAAAAUUUCCAUUAAAGUUUAAAAUAUAUUUAUAUGAUUUCAUUUGUUUAAUUAACCGUCCAUGAAGUGGAUUUAAUUCUUACUGUUCAAUAAAAAUAACUAAGAUGAGUAGACAAAUACCCUGACCAAUCCAUAACUAAGAUGAGUAGACAAAUAGUUUUUUCAGUGGCGGAGCCACCUUAUACUAAGGGGUCAUCUGACCCAUAUCAAAUCUACAAAAUCUUAACUUUAGGCUUAAUAUCAUACUAAUUGCUGUCGUCUAUUGGUUAAACUCUUCUUUUAUGAUCCCCAUGUCUUGAGUUCAACAUUCUCAUUUAUCAUUUUAGCUAUAUAUUAAAUGAAUAUUGACCCAUGUGGAACAUAAACCUAGCUCCGCCACUGGUGCGGUUUGUGUUGGUUCUCUUGCUUCUUGUUUCUCAACACGUUCAAAAUAAAAACCAUGCCAAAAUUGACUAGAGUUUGAAUCUAUACUAUUAAAGUAGGAUCCUAUUGUUCUUUUUACCUUAACAUGCCCUUUUCAUUACUAACAUUGCAUGUUUCAUUAAGGGCAAUCAAGUAAUAUUAAUAACACAUCUUUAUUAGGUCAUUUAUUUCGGAUCCAGCCCACAUCAGAUCCAUUUGGGCCGAUUAAAAAAUCAGAUCCAGUUCUCACAUUUUUUUUUCUUUGGGCCAUUGAGUCUAAGUUCAAAUAAUUUUUUUCAACUAUUCUUAAUUAUUAUUAUUUUUUCUUCUCUUAAUAUAAUUUAAGCAUUCAUAAAAAAAUUUGAAUUUUUUCAUUGAAAAGUAUAAAUCUUUAUUAAAAGUAUAUAAUUUGUUUUAUUAAAAUAUUAACCACAUAAUAAAAUUAAUUUAUCAGAGUUAUACCAACUUAAUUCAUAAAAUAAAUAAAGUUUAAUUUUUAAAACAUAAAUAGUCAUUUAAAAUGAAAUAUAAUAAAUAAAGAUAAAAAGUUUAAGUCUUUUAUAAAAUAAAACACAAAUAUAUGAAAACUAGGGUUUGGCUCCGCCCUACGUGCGGGUGAAUGAAAAUAUAAAUUGAUUAUUUAUUUAUUACUGAAUUUGGCUAUCCAUCAUUUUGUCAAUUUUUUUACUCUUCUUUUCAUUUUUCUUGUGCUUAUUCAACACAACGUGAGAAAAAUAUGAUCCUAAAUAGAACCUCAUGUUUUUAUGAAAAUUUUAUCUGUUUUCAAGUUGUGGAUUAUAUUAUUAGCUUAUACUAAUAUAUUUUUCUUACGAAUAUGUUAAAAUUAAAAUUUUGGCUAAGCUAACAAUAUACCAUUAAUAUAAAAAGUAUUUAUGAACUAUUACAUAUUAUGUUAAUAUAUUUAAAUAAUAUAAAAACAAAGAGUUAAAAAGAGUUUACAUUUUAAAAAGUUAUAAUGAGGAAAAAGAUUACUCUUCUUUACAUAGAUUUUGAUUAGCUAGUUAUAUUAUGGGGAAAUUUUAUGUUUACCACUUUCAUGGUACCACUUUUUAUUUUUAUCACUAGUAAAUAGAUAUUUUCAAAAAUACAUUUUUCAUUAAGUGGUAAAAGACUCUUAUACUCUUAUUAUAUAUAUAUAAUAAAUCAUUAUUUAAAUAAUUAAAAAAUAAAAAUAAAUAUAAUAUUUUUUUUAUGUUUUCGAAUUAGUCUUUUUCAAAUUCGAACUUUUUUAUAAUUUUUUUUUGAAUUUGUUUUUUUUGAAUUUUUUUUUAUUUUUGAAAAUUGAAAAUUAUGUUCGAAACUAUUUUUUAAUUUUUUUUACAUUUUUAAAUAUUUAUUUAUAUAUUUAUUAGAAUCAUAAAUUUCACAUUUCAAAAACCCUACUCACCCCUCAGCUCUAAACCCUAAGUCUAGAUUAAUUAAUCCUAGAGGUAUAAAUGUCUUUUAUCCUUCAUUAAAAGUGAUGGUAAAAAUGAUUAGUAUAAACAUGAAAAAUAGUACUACGAAUGUGGUAUUUGUGACAGUUUCCCUUAUAUUAAUUAUGAAGAUGAUUUCUUAACUAUUGAGUUAGGUAGUAGAUCAGUUAUUCAGUUUUUCUUAAUCCAUUACUUUUUAGUGAUAAAUUUCAUAUUUAAAAAUUAUUUGAUCUUUACUAAAUAUUCUUAUCAUGAAAUGUAAAAACAAUUUAAAUUUUUCUAAAAGUUAUAAUGAGAUGUAAAUUUUUGUUACACCAUGAAACAGUUAUGAGGAAAAAGAUUAUUCUUCUUUACAAAAAAAAAUUUAUUUGAUCUUUACUAAUUUUGUUUUUGUGAUAAUUGUUUUCUGCUGAUUUAUUGAAUUAAAAUAUAAUUGCAUAAGCAUGGACCUCACGUCCAUUUUUGAAACUCCCUCUAUUAUUUUGAUUUUAACCCACCAAUUUUUUUUUAAAAGGAAUAAAUAGAUGAUUUUAAGCAACGGGGUAUGUUUCUCAAAAAAAAAAGGGGGUAUGUUCCCGUUACUCUAUAAGUUAAAAUGGUCUUGUUACUAUACAAUACAAAUGUUGUUCAAUCUUAUGAAAUUGAUAUUCACAUGACAAUGGUUGUCAUCUUGUGUUUUUGCUUUUUUUUUAUCUGAUAUGUCAUCACUAUAUAAACAUAGUGGCUUUGUUUUACUAUUUGAGUUUAUCUAACGCUCAUUAUUUCACCGUUGAACACAUUAAUUCACAAUUAGACGCUCCAAAUCUUGUUUUGAUAGUCAAGAGCUCUGGCAUACAUGGUGAUGGGCAAAAACAAACACAAACAAAGAGGUAGCAGGACAUAUUUUGUGAUGUAGUCGUAAACCG
rnacentral:lncRNA from 1 species